AACGAACGCUGGCGGCAUGCCUAACACAUGCAAGUCGAACGAGACCUUCGGGUCUAGUGGCGCACGGGUGCGUAACGCGUGGGAACCUGCCCUUAGGUUCGGAAUAACUCCCCGAAAGGGGUGCUAAUACCGGAUAAUGUCUUCGGACCAAAGAUUUAUCGCCUUCGGAUGGGCCCGCGUUGGAUUAGCUAGUUGGUAGGGUAAAAGCCUACCAAGGCGACGGUCCAUAGCUGGUCUGAGAGGAUGAUCAGCCACACUGGGACUGAGACACGGCCCAGACUCCUACGGGAGGCAGCAGUGGGGAAUAUUGGACAAUGGGCGAAAGCCUGAUCCAGCAAUGCCGCGUGAGUGAUGAAGGCCUUAGGGUUGUAAAGCUCUUUUACCCGGGAUGAUAAUGACAGUACCGGGAGAAUAAGCUCCGGCUAACUCCGUG
rnacentral:rRNA from 1 species